rnacentral:rRNA from 1 species
AUUGAACGCUGGCGGCAGGCCUAACACAUGCAAGUCGAACGAGUGGCGGACGGGUGAGUAAUGUCUGGGACACUGCCUGAUGGAGGGGGAUAACUACUGGAAACGGUAGCUAAUACCGCAUACCAUCGGAUGUGCCCAGAUGGGCUUCGCUAGUAGGGGGGGUAAAGGCUCACCUAGGCGACGAUCCCUAGCUGGUCUGAGAGGAUGCCCAGCCACACUGGAACUGAGACACGGUCCAGACUCGUACGGGGGGCAGCAGUGGGUAAUAUUGCACAAUGGGCGCAAGCCUGAUGCAGCCAUGCCGCGUGUAUGAAGAAGGCCUGCGGGUUGUAAAGUACUUUCAGCGGGGAGGCGUUACCCGCAGAAGAAGCACCGGCUAACUCCGUGCCAGCAGCCGCUGUAAUAC